GAGAGAUCCUUUGAUUCUGCAGCAGGUAUGGCAGUUAGUACCAGGAGAGAGCCUUUGAUUCUGCAGCAGGUAUGACAGUUAGUACCAGGAGAGAGCCUUUGAUUCUGCAGUAGGUAUGACAGUACCAGGAGAGAGCCUUUGAUUCUGCAGUAGGUAUGACAGUACCAGGAGAGAGCCUUUGAUUCUGCAGCAGGUAUGCCAGUACCAGGAGAGAUCCUUUGAUUCUGCAGCAGGUAUGACAGUUAGUACCAGGAGAGAGCCUUUGAUUCUGCAGUAGGUAUGACAGUACCAGGAGAGAGCCUUUGAUUCUGCAGUAGGUAUGACAGUUAGUACCAGGAGAGAGCCUUUGAUUCUGCAGUAGGUAUGACAGUGAGUACCAGGAGAGAGCCUUUGAUUCUGCAGCAGGUAUGACAGUUAGUACCAGGAGAGAGCCUUUGAUUCUGCAGCAGGUAUGACAGUACCAGGAGAGAGCCUUUGAUUCUGCAGUAGGUAUGACAGUACCAGGAG